AUCGAUCUGUUUCUCACACACACCUAUCAUAUUGCUUCUGAAGAUAUGGAUUUAAGCACUGGAGUCUUAUGGAUUUGAUAAAGUUUAUGCUGCCAUAAAGUCUUUUUAGGACCUUUUGCAUUCUGGUCACCAUUCACUUGCAUUGUGUGGACCUACAGAGCUGAAAUCUUAAUUUGUCCUCAGUAGAAGAAAGUCAUACACAUAUGGGGUGGCAUGUGGAAAAAAUAUCUAAAUGAUGAUGACUGAACCCCAGUCAUUGGAGCACGUGUCGUGGCCAAUGGGCCAGGAUGCCGGGUCGCUAUUCAUUUCAAGUGCCGAGACCUAGGGAGGGGAGUGCGUUGCGACUGCCAGGACUGUCACCUGACCUUCCCCUGUCUUCACUACUCUUUCCUUCACAUAGCCCUUUUCACUGCAAAGGCCCCAGAUUUCCCUUUGUUUUGGACAUUUUAAAUAAAUGCCUCUCUGAGGCCUGACGCCACACCCACUGUCUGUCUCUUGCUCACCCCGCCACAAAGUAUUGUCAGAUUUUACUACUUAUUUGAAAUAUGUUCUUUUAUCGUAAUCUUGACCAACCAUUUGAGAUUUUCGGUCUUUCCCCAUUCAAGUAGAUAUGAGCUGCACUUUCAUAACGCUUGUUUACAUAAAAAAAUAGCAGCCCAAACUGCCCAAGAGCGUUCCAAAGACGGCAGCCGAGUGGACUGACUUACCUUGAAAAAGAGACUUUGUUGAAAGGAUCCGGAAAUACCAUUCUAAUUCCUUGUUUACAUUUUUGAAAUGGUUUAUAUUUAAGAACAUGUUCACAAUAUUGCAUAGCCUUUUGUACCCAAACUUAUCUCAAAUAAAAAAGGUGACAGGAGAUCAAAUUUUAGAACAAUGGUCUGCUUGGUCUGCUCCCAGUGGUUGAAGCUGGAAGUCCAGUUGAACAUAUGCAGACCUUCAUGUGGUGCACUACGUAAGAGCAAGACAUGAGCUGCAUGAACAACGUCCAAAUGAAAAAUUUGUGUAGUGAUUUACAUUAAUAUACUCUUAACCCGAACCAUAAACCUAACCAUAACAGUACUGAUACCAAAACUGAGUUCUUUCUACUUUGCAAAUGUAGUGUCUUGGUAGCCAGCGAACAAAAGGGAGGUGACGUCACAGGCACAGCGGGGGCGAUUUUCAGGAUAUGAACAUUCACCACAUGUGGUGCACUUGUCUGUAAUUAGGCAAAUCAGGUCCAAAUUUGAAAAUAACUUUGCCUGUGAGAUCAUAUUGUUGUACCUUUAUUUCUUAAUUGUAACCCAGAUUAAAGAUUUCAGUGUAUGUACAGUAUGUUAAUGUGUGCAGACUUAUUUCUGUCCAAACAUUUACUUUCUUAUUCACAGGUAUAUAAUGAAGACAAGAGUUCAAGUUUAAGUUUCCCCUGGACUACACUUCCCAUAAUGCACUUCCUUCAUCACUGCCAUCUGUUCCCAAUCCACCUCACCUGUUCUCUGUUCCCUCCUCAGCACCUUUGUGUAUAAAUACCCUCCAGUUUUCUUCAUUCCUGGUCAGUUCUUGAAGUGUUGCAUUUAACCCUCUGGGGUCUGAGGGUGUUUUGGGCCCUGGAGAAGUUUUGACAUGUCUUGACAUUUGUGCUUUUUUCAGUUGCUUAAAAACAUAUUAAUGGCUAAACUCUAACACUGUAUUCAGCACAAACUGGGCUACAAUAAUAUGUGAACAACAUGUAUGUACAUGUUUGUAUUUCUGAGAAAAUAACGUUUAUGCGUGGUUUUUGAAAAAACAAAAAUUGUAAGUCACUGAAAUAAGGCCAUAUAUCACAUACUAGACAUUUGUUCACAAGACUUUUGUGAACUGGAUCAUGUAGCCUGGAGGUUUUGCUACAAAAUGAUGUGAAACCAUCCUGAUCACUCAUUCAUACAAAACAAUAUAGUCAUUUAACUUUUGUAAGACACUUUAAGUGUUAGAAAGACCAUAUGCGAGGAGGCGUGGAUGAUCAUGAAUAUUGAUAUGAUUCACACCUGAGGAGACAAAGACCCCUCCCCUGAGAGAGAAUGAAUGUGAGGAGACUUAAUGAUUGAAUGUAUUAUCUGACUAUACAUUUUCUUUACAUAAAGACUUAAACUUUAGACCAACACUACCGUUUAAGAAUUUAUGGAUCUGUAAGAUUUUUUUAAUGUUUUUAAAAGAAGUCUCUUCUGCUCACCAAGGCUGCAUUUAUUUGAUCCAAAAUACAGCAAAAACAGUGAUUGUGAAAUAUUUUUACAAUUUAAAAUAACCGUUUUCUAUUUGAAUAUAUUGUCAAAUGCAAUUUAUUCCUGUGAUCAAAGCUGAAUUUUCAGCAUCAUUACUGCAGUCUUCAGUGUCACAUGAUCCUUCAGAAAUCAUUCUAAUAUGCUGAUUUUCUAAUAUGGGCAUAUUUACAGCACAUUUACACCCGAACAGAUAUUUGCAAGCACAAGCUUCAUUGAUGAUAAUGAGGCAGCAUAAACACUAGUUAAAAUAUAAUCUAAACAUUCAUAUUAUUUUUAUAUCAUAUUACAUAUCAUAUUUAUAUCAUACAGCAUACAAUUUAAAUACCUGCUUUAGCCGAAACAUUUAAAUGUAACUAAAACUUGCCUAUAAGGAUAUAUUGCAAAUGUCAAUACUCUGAAUCCUGGCUGGCAAGUCUGGAAAUAGUCCAGCUAGUAAAAUAUGUACAUGUUUAUAUAAAAUAGCAUGUCAACUAAUGUAAGUAAAACUAAAUGACUUACUCAUCCGGAAUUGUAUCCUCGGCUGGAUCAAGUCGCUCUUCAAAAUGACUCCGCCUUCCACAGCUCCGCCCCCAGAGUCUUCCACUGCUUCGCCGGCCUCCGAGCCUCUCCCGGCUCCGCCUGCCUCCGUCGACACUUCCUUGGCUCCACCCUCAAUCCCUGGAUCUCCCCCUCCUACGCCUCUGCCCAUUCCACCACGCUCUCCAUUAUCUAUGUCUCAAAACCCUAAUCCUCCUGUGGCUCUGCCAGCUCCUCCUCUGGUUCCUUCCCUUGAGAUCCAAAUCCUCCAUUCUCCUGUGGCUUCAUCUCCGGACCCAUCUCUGGCUCCACCAUCGAGACCUCAAGUCCCUUCUCUGUGGCUGCCUACUGGGCUCCUGAUCCAGUCCCUGCUCUGUGGCUGCCUCCUGACCCAGUUCCUGUCCCGCGGCCUAGGCCCCUGGAUCAAUUCCCAGCCCUGAAGCCACCCCCCAGGCCUUCUGAUCAUCUUCUUUGGAUCCUUCCUCACCUUCUGCAUCACCCUACCCUCCUCAUCCGUCUUUGGGGUACCAGGAGUCGCCCUUUGGGAGGGGGGUGUUAAUGUCACAAUUAUUCUCUGUUCUGUGGACUCUAAUUUUGAUAUGGUUUUUGUGUCAUCCUCAGUUUCCCCUGGACUACACUUCCCAUAAUGCACUGCCCUCAUCACUACCAUCUGUUCCCAAUCCUCCUGACCUGUUCUCCGUUCCCUCAUCAGCACCUUUGUGUAUAAAUAUCCUCCAGUUUUAUUCAUUCCUUGUCAGUUCUUGAAGUGUUAUGUUUAAUGGAUAUGUUGUGAUGUUUAGCGUCAUUGUUUGUUCCAAUCCAGCGUUUAUUAUUAAAAGUAUCUACU